GCCGACUUAGCUCAGCUGGUAGAGCAGCCGAUUCGUAAUCGGCAGGUCGCGUGUUCGAGUCACGCAGUCGGCACCA
rnacentral:tRNA from 1 species